rnacentral:rRNA from 1 species
UACGUAGGGUGCAAGCGUUGUCCGGAAUUAUUGGGCGUAAAGAGCUCGUAGGCGGUUUGUCGCGUCUGCUGUGAAAAUCCAGGGCUUAACCCUGGACCUGCAGUGGGUACGGGCAGACUAGAGUGCGGUAGGGGGAGAUCGGAAUUCCUGGUGUAGCGGUGAAAUGCGCAGAUAUCAGGAGGAACACCGGUGGCGAAGGCGGUUCUCUGGGCAUUACCUGACGCUGAGGAGCGAAAGUGUGGGGAGCGAACAGG